GACGAACGCUGGCGGCGUGCUUAACACAUGCAAGUCGAACGGACAGGCCCUGCUUUUGUGGGGUUCUCGAGUGGCGAACGGGUGAGUAACACGUGAGUAACCUGCCCUUGACUUUGGGAUAACUUCAGGAAACUGGGGCUAAUACCGGAUAGGAGCUCCUGCUGCAUGGUGGGGGUUGGAAAGUUUCGGCGGUUGGGGAUGGACUGGCGGCUUAUCAGCUUGUUGGUGGGGUAGUGGCUUACCAAGGCUUUGACGGGUAGCCGGCCUGAGAGGGUGACCGGGCACAAUGGGACUGAGAUACGGCCCAGACUCCUACGGGAGGCAGCAGUGGGGAAUAUUGCACAAUGGGCGGAAGCCUGAUGCAGCAACGCCGCGUGCGGGAUGACGGCCUUCGGGGUGUAAACCGCUUUCGCCUGUGACGAAGCGUGAGUGACGGUAAUGGGUAAAGAAGCACCGGCUAACUACGUG
rnacentral:rRNA from 1 species